AGGAUAGUAGUUAACUAUAACAUCUGAUUUGCAUUCAGAAAGUAUUGAUUUAUUCAAUCUAUCUUA
rnacentral:tRNA from 1 species